rnacentral:rRNA from 1 species
CAGCCGCCGCGGUAAUACGGAGGAUCCAAGCGUUAUCCGGAAUCAUUGGGUUUAAAGGGUCCGUAGGCGGUCUUGUAAGUCAGUGGUGAAAGCCCAUCGCUCAACGGUGGAACGGCCAUUGAUACUGCAGGACUUGAAUUAUUGGGAAGUAACUAGAAUAUGUAGUGUAGCGGUGAAAUGCUUAGAGAUUACAUGGAAUACCAAUUGCGAAGGCAGGUUACUACCAAUUGAUUGACGCUGAUGGACGAAAGCGUGGGUAGCGAACAGGAUUAGAUACCCGGGUAGUCCCUGUCUCUUAUAC